UACGUAGGGCGCAAGCGUUGUCCGGAAUUAUUGGGCGUAAAGAGCUCGUAGGCGGCUUGUCACGUCGGAUGUGAAAGCUCGGGGCUUAACCCCGAGUCUGCAUUCGAUACGGGCUAGCUAGAGUGUGGUAGGGGAGAUCGGAAUUCCUGGUGUAGCGGUGAAAUGCGCAGAUAUCAGGAGGAACACCGGUGGCGAAGGCGGAUCUCUGGGCCAUUACUGACGCUGAGGAGCGAAAGCGUGGGGAGCGAACAGG
rnacentral:rRNA from 1 species